UCCUAGCCCUGAUGGGAACGGCAUCCUUUUAUGGUGGGGUUCACCAUAAAAGAUAUAGUGGACAGCAGGAAACAGC
rnacentral:sRNA from 1 species